AGAUUGAACGCUGGCGGCAGGCCUAACACAUGCAAGUCGAGCGGUAGAGAGGUGCUUGCACCUCUUGAGAGCGGCGGACGGGUGAGUAAUGCCUAGGAAUCUGCCUAGUGGUGGGGGAUAACGUUCGGAAACGGACGCUAAUACCGCAUACGUCCUACGGGAGAAAGCGGGGGACCUUCGGGCCUCGCGCCAUUAGAUGAGCCUAGGUCGGAUUAGCUAGUUGGUGAGGUAAUGGCUCACCAAGGCGACGAUCCGUAACUGGUCUGAGAGGAUGAUCAGUCACACUGGAACUGAGACACGGUCCAGACUCCGUACGGGAGCAGCAGGUGGGAAUAGUUGACAAGUGGGACGAAAGCCUAGAUCCGAGCCAUGCCGCGGUGUGUGGAAGUAAGGUCUUCGGAUUAGUAAA
rnacentral:rRNA from 1 species